GGGCCCGCACAAGCGGUGGAGCAUGUGGUUUAAUUCGAAGCAACGCGAAGAACCUUACCAAGGCUUGACAUCCCGACGCCGUAUGCAGAGAUGUAUAUUUCCUCUUCGGAGGACGUCGGAGACAGGUGGUGCAUGGUUGUCGUCAGCUCGUGUCGUGAGAUGUUGGGUUAAGUCCCGCAACGAGCGCAACCCUUGUCGUCAGUAGCCAGCGCGAAAGGCGGGCACACUGGGGAUACCGCCGCGGAUAACGCGGAGGAAGGUGGGGAUGAGGUCAAAUCAUCAUGCCCCUUAUGUCUUGGGCAACACACGUGCUACAAUGGCUCGAACAAAGUGAAGCAAACCAGUGAUGGGGAGCAAAGCACGAAAUCGAGUCUCAGUUCGGAUUGAAGUCUGCAACCCGACUUCAUGAAGCUGGAAUCGCUAGUAAUCGCGGAUCAGCAUGCCG
rnacentral:rRNA from 1 species